UACGGGGGGGGCAAGCGUUGUUCGGAAUUACUGGGCGUAAAGGGCUCGUAGGCGGCCAACUAAGUCAGACGUGAAAUCCCUCGGCUUAACCGGGGAACUGCGUCUGAUACUGGAUGGCUUGAGUUUGGGAGAGGGAUGCGGAAUUCCAGGUGUAGCGGUGAAAUGCGCAGAUAUCGGGAAGAACACCAAUGGCGAAAGCAGCUUUCUGGGACGGUACUGACGCUGAGACGCGAAAGCGUGGGGAGCGAACAGG
rnacentral:rRNA from 1 species